rnacentral:tRNA from 1 species
GGCGCGGUAGCCAAGUGGUAAGGCAGGAGUCUGCAAAACUUCUAUUCGUCGGUUCGAUUCCGUCUCGCGCCUCCA